CUCGCCUCACUUCCUCUCCUCAGUCGUGGGCGUUUUGUCGUUCGCAUCCUCACAAGGACCAUUUUAUUGCUCAGAUACAUAAUUUCUAUUGGAAUAUAAGGAAGUGGACAAGCAGAGUGAAAACUUGAAACUUGAAAGAUUAAGAAAAGGGUUAAAUUUAUUUGAAUCCGAGCCCAAGUCCUUCUGGCUCCAAAAUUCAAGGCCUUUCACCAAAGAAACCCAAAAACCUGGCUGACUUGAACUGAAUGAAUCGUACCACCAGAUGGCCACAAGAAACUAAGGCAAGCACUGCUCACAUGUGA